AUGCUCUCACAAGGAGUGCUCAGGCCCACCUGUAAAGCGCGUCAUUUAAGGGGCCUGUGCUGGUUAUUCAUGGGAAAUGAAGGUCACCUUCGUCACCAUUGCACUUAUUGCCGUCGUGAUUGCGGUUAUAGAAAUGGAGCUCGCAAAUGCAAAAACUAAACCGGUAUUCAAAGUCGGAAAACCUGGGGCUCGUGGUAAUCGACGCAGACCUGUAAGACGACCCCUAAGUCCUCGCCCAAGGAAACCGGGAGG